rnacentral:lncRNA from 10 species
GCAAAGUUGCGAAUCACAUCACUUGUAUGAGCAGCACAUAAAAUGAUUGGUCAAGGAAAAUAGUGGGAAGAUGAGAAACAUGUGGCCUUAAGAACUGCAGAGAAAGGCCAGAAAAGUGGCCUGAUGCUGCACCGGAAGGAAAGGGGCAGGGCAAAAUGAACUGAAGCAGAGGUGCAAAACACCGAAAGGAAACCUCAAUGCUGCGGGUUAUCUACAGCCGUAAAGAGGGCACUUCCUGUUUGCUUCUUUCUGGUACAGGAAUUAGCUCCUGGCAUAGUCUGGGAGCUGUGGGAGGCAGCAGGCCUGGGGAUCUGUUGGAUCCGAACUGUCUAGCAUGGACGUCGCGGGAGCACACGUGCUAGAGUGAGCCAACCCCUCCACAUGGAGGCAGGCCAGCGUUAAGGCAGAAAUCACUCUAUUUAAAGACUCUCAAAUGGUGAUUUAGGAUGUGGGCUUGAAGAGUAGCAAUGUUUAGCAGCAGUUUGACAUUAUUCUUUGUAUUACACUUGUGUUAACCUCAAGCCCUGAAGUUUUAUGUAAAAGCCACAGCCUGGCCUGAGGUGUGCCGCGGGCAAUGAAGAAGCACCCAUCUAAUGGCCAUGGGGCUGCAGUGCACUUUCUCUGAGGCAUAAGAGGAUUGAGCAGAAAUAGCUGGGCUUUCUUUUGCAAUGGAGGAGCACAGUGGCCACCACGUGGAAAGCAGGGACAGCGCCAGAGAGAACCAAAGAGACCUGCUCCAGAUCGCACACGAGGCAGUGUCCAGGAACUCCACAAAAAACCUGGCAAAAUACCCAGCCAAACGCAGCUGAAGGACAUUCUACACACAGGCUGGUACCCCUCAGGAAUGUCCAUUUCAUCAAAGGAACAGAGAGGGUGAGGACUAUUCCAAGGAAAAGGACAUGAGAGGCAUGACAACAAAAUUGAAGGGUGUGAUCCUGGACUGGCUCUUGGAUCAAAAAAAUAAAUGCCCUAGAGGACAUUUAAUUAUUGGCAUAAUUGGUGAAAUUUUCAUAUGAGGUGUAUGUUGGGUAAUAGAAAUGUGUAUUGCUGUUAAAUUUCCUGAAUUUGUUUAUUGAAUUAUGGUUAUGUAAGAGAAAGUUCUUGUCCUUAGGAGGCAUUUAGAAGUAUGAUCAGGUAUUUAAGAGUGAAAGGUCAGGGUCAUAUUGUGUGAAAGUUAUUUUCAAAUGGUUUAGCCAGAAAGUUAAUAAUGGUUGUGUGUGUGUGUGUGUGUGUGUGUGCAUAGAAAGAGAGAGAGAAAGGCAAAUGUGGCACUAAAGAACAAUAAUUUCAUGAGUAAUUACUCAAUGCAUAAUAAUUUAUUAUCAAAAGUGUGACUUUAGUAUAGAAAGUAGACUUUAUUUACAUGUAUCAAAUGGUAUAUCUUGGUAAGGUCUGCACCAUAUACAUCAUGUUCAUAAUCCUUAACAUUCAGAGGCACUUUGAUAAUCAUGCAUAGCACGUAGUAAUGCAUCCCUUUUUCUCCAUCUUGUAAUGGUGAUUUAGAUGUACAGUUUUCUAAUUGCUUGUUUCUUAUGUUAUGAUGGAAAACGGAUGUGUUGUUUGGCAUGAUUGCUUCACUUGCUACCCUGAAAAUACAUUGACUUCAAUCAUUUUUGGCAUCCCUAACACCUAGCAAUGUCCUCCUAAUGGUGGUUAACAAACAAAUCUACUGCAUGGAUUGAAUAGCUGUAUAAAUAGCAUGUAAAGGGGUCAAUGAAGUACCACCACGUUAAGAGAUACAUAGCACGGGCAUCUCCUGAUAAGAUCAGUGGACAGACGCCAUCUAGAAACAUCUCUUUCCACUUGUGUGCCAUGGUAUCCUCUUUAAUCCAGAUUCACAGCUGACUUUAGACCUGGUUCCUCUAUGACUUGGAGACACUCUAGUCUUAUUCCUUCCUAGUAAUGGAUCUCAGCAAAUGACUCUCCUUCUGAGCACUCCUUGUUUUUGGCAUUUGCUAAGUCCAUUAGUUCAGUUACAACCCUUGAGUAGGUAAAAAUUUUGACCUUCACCAUCCAGUUUAUUCCCUAAAGCAGACUUUUCUGUUAGAGACCACACUGAAUCACAUGUCAAGCCUAUUACAAAUUAUUGACCAAAACACAGAAUUCUUGACUGGAAAGAGAUAACUAUCAAACCUUCCUGGUUGGGAAUGUAUCCAGUGGGAGACACAUGUUAUAGGCAGAAUAGGCAGAGUAGAAUGGGUACAUGUUAGCCAAAGCCAAAAAAGAGUGUCUGUACAUUUUAAGGACUAUAGUCAUCUUUUUGCUUUUCCUCCUGUUUUUGAGGUUGCCAUAAAUAUGCACAUAAUUCAAAAUUCCUUAAGUAUCAGGGAGUAUUUGUUAACUUACUCUCCUCCCAGUAUUCUUACAUUAUCAAAAUUACAUCUUAAAUAUGAUUUAGGUUUUUUUGUUUUUAAUUUUUUAAUUUUUUUUUAUUUUUACAGUCACAUAGUAGGUACAUUUUUAUGCGGUACAUGAGAUAUUUUGAUAUAGGCAUACAAUGUGUAAUAAUCACAUCAAGGUAAAUGGGGUAUCUAUAACCUUAAGUAUUCAUUAUUUCUUUGUGUUAGAAGCAUUCCAGUUACACUCUUUUAGUUAUUUAAAAGUGUACAAUAAGUUGUUGUUGACUGUAGUUAUCUUGUUGAAUAAAGAUCAAAUACUAGAUCUUUAUUCAUCCUAUCUAACUAUAUUUUUUGUACCCAUUAAUUAUUCCCAUUUCCUUCUCCCUCCCAAAGUGUGAUUUGAUUAAUGAAUAAACAAAUGAGACUCCAGGCCAAGAAGUGCUCAGUUCUAAGUGUCUUACUCCAAUGUAUUAUUGAUUUAAAUAUGACCAUCCAUUUCAUAAAGAAAAAGAUUAAGGGCAAUAAGGGUAGUAAUUCAUAUUCAGAGAUGAAGAAUACGGCAGACAUAAAUUCUUACUUGGCAGCUGUUAAAAAGUUAAUGGAUAAAAAGAAAAAACAACCAGUCAUUUUCUAUUUCACCUUGUUUUCUCCCUAGGUGAUGUUUAUCAGAUUCUAAAAGCUCAAACAAAGGCUUUGGUUAAGUCUUGAAUGAGAGAGAAUUUUAUGAGAACCCCUAGCUGCCAGAAACACUGACAUAAUUGAGCCACUAUCUGAAAUUGUUGUGAACAAGAAGCUAAGUAUUGCGUAAGGGUGGGC